UACGGAGGGGGCUAGCGUUGUUCGGAAUUACUGGGCGUAAAGCGCACGUAGGCGGCUUUGUAAGUUAGAGGUGAAAGCCCGGGGCUCAACUCCGGAAUUGCCUUUAAGACUGCAUCGCUAGAAUUGUGGAGAGGUAAGUGGAAUUCCGAGUGUAGAGGUGAAAUUCGUAGAUAUUCGCAAGAACACCAGUGGCGAAGGCGGCUUACUGGUCCGGAACUGACGCUGAGGUGCGAAAGCGUGGGGAGCAAACAGG
rnacentral:rRNA from 1 species